rnacentral:rRNA from 1 species
AGCGAACGCUGGCGGCAGGCUUAACACAUGCAAGUCGAGCGGGCAUAGCAAUAUGUCAGCGGCAGACGGGUGAGUAACGCGUGGGAACGUACCUUUUGGUUCGGAACAACACAGGGAAACUUGUGCUAAUACCGGAUAAGCCCUUACGGGGAAAGAUUUAUAGCCGAAAGAUCGGCCCGCGUCUGAUUAGCUAGUUGGUGAGGUAAUGGCUCACCAAGGCGACGAUCAGUACGCUGGUCUGAGAGGAUGAUCAGCCACAUUGGGACUGAGACACGGCCCAAACUCCUACGGGAGGCAGCAGUGGGGAAUAUUGGACAAUGGGCGCAAGCCUGAUCCAGCCAUGCCGCGUGAGUGAUGAAGGCCCUAGGGUUGUAAAGCUCUUUUGUGCGGGAAGAUAAUGACGGUACCGCAAGAAUAAGCCCCGGCUAACUUCGUGCCAGCCGCCGCCGUAA